rfam:Daphnia pulex DAPPTscaffold_261_Cont7979, whole genome shotgun sequence.
GUGGAUGUAGCUCAGAUGGUAGAGCGCUCGCUUAGCAUGCGAAAAGUACGGGGAUCGAUACCCUGCAUCUCCA